rnacentral:tRNA from 1 species
AUUUAAGUAGCUCUUAGAGUAUUAUUUUGAAGAAAUAAAGGAAGAAAAAUCUCUUAAAUA